rnacentral:lncRNA from 13 species
UGGAAACGUCCAGGUAUUCUGCUCUCCGGCUAUACGGAUACCUUUGUCGAUGUCAGGAGGCUCCGCUGGAAAGGACAGGGUGAUAUUGACACCCAUGGACAGGGAAGCAUCACACGGUCCUGUUGGAGUGAGGACAUGAGUCCACAGCCAGCUCUCAGUGGAUCCAUAAUCACACAGUAAUGAUUUCCUCAGUCCCCAGAUGUAUAAUUGGAAUGGACAUAGGCAGUGAAUAUCCUGUAUUAAAGAAACAGUCAUUGACUGGUGCUACAAGCACAUAUUGAACACUGGACAUUGGACUCUGUGCAGGAAGCGGUAAACUGCAGACUGCCAUCAGAGAAUUAACCUCGGAGGGGAGGAAGCUGACAUGCAUCGUCAAGCAAUUUUAUGAUAAUUUCAUAAGUGCAACAUUUACAACUAUGUACCAUGCACUGUGGCAACACAUCAGAUCCCGCCCUUAGUAAUCAGGAAAAGCUGCCAAGAGAGGGACCAGAGAAGGAAGGAAGGUAUACAGGAAGAUAAAGUUGAAAAGGUCAGCAGUAAUUUUAACAGAUCACCUUGUCCACAGUGUGAAAACUGGUGUCUACAAAGGAAAAGGAAGAAAAGAAUAUUCAAUGACGAGUAAAACUAAAAUGACUUACGAAGACUUUUUAAAAGCAAGAUAAAAUAUCGCUGGGUGAGACGCUCAGCAACACACAGGCUGCCAGUUUCCCUGCACAUCCAGGCCAGCCCUGAAGAUGCCAGAAGAGAAAUAGGAGAUUGAUAGAAGAUACAGACACAAUAGAUGCAGAAUUUAAAGAAGGAAAUAACUAAAAAUAAAACAAUUUCUAAAUGUGUGUGUGUGUGUGUU